UGUCACACAAUUCAUGCAUCCAGUACAGGGUAAAGAAUCAGUUUUACACAAAUUGGUGCUGUUCCAGUGAAAGUUUCUACCAGUCAAUCAGGUGUACUCUAAACAGCCUUUUCAAAUGAUGCCCCAAUGGAUUAUCUGAGCAAUUUCCCACUGAAGGCAGUGAGUAACCACUGAGUGAGGAUGGAACAGAAGGGGACUCCUCUUUGGAAAGAUAGGAUUUGCUGAAGCUCUGGUUUUUGACCAGCUCUCAGAACCACUCUCAGGAGUCAUCCACGUGCUCGGUGGUUGCUGCUCUCUUCAGAGAUUAUAAUCUCCUUCAAGCAGAGACUCAUCUUCUUGCACAACUCUGAAUGCCACUGAAGUCAGAAACUGCACAGCCAUCAACACCGAGAUAAUGCAGAAGCAGGGCUGAACAGAGGACAAUAACGUUUUCUGUGUCACAUUAGCAUCUCAGUGAUAUCUUAAAUGGGAAUGAAAAUCAUGAUAAGCAGUGUGGACACCAUUCAUUCCAAAAGCCAGUAUUUAAAACCCUGAUGUAUUUUGCAAUUCUAUAUCUGAAAGAACAGCUAGGAGUGCCAUGAUCUGCCCCUUUGACAGCCAUGGGAGGUAGAUAUAGAGAAGACAGCCUCAGGCAUGGAUCUGCAGUCACUGCCAGGUACAAAAUUCUCCAAUUUGCAAUGCCACGUGAAAGAUCUCCUGCUGUUUGAGUGCACGUAUGGCCAGCCCAUCUACGAGCAGAUUAAGUAACCCUUCUUUGAUGGACAAUUUUGUUCAACUUUCUUCAUCACAGGCUAAAGUACAUGAGAAGGUAUUAUCAACAUCUGAAAAUAAACUUGCUAUAAUGAGAUUAAUAUGGUUGGUUGAUUACAUUCAGUCAUCAUUUUCUAACCCUGAUUUUAAUUUCGCUCCACAUUUUAAGUUCGUGCUAUAUAAACUCAUAUUUACUUUCUUAUGCUCCUCACUGCACUCAGUUUUCCAAGUUGCUUUCUAAUUUGCUUUAAUCUUCA
ensembl:lncRNA